rnacentral:lncRNA from 1 species
GUUUCACAAUUAUACUGGCGAUAUUCGGUGACAUUACUAUUCCAGGCAUUUCGAGACCAGUGAGACAUCUUUUUUAAAAUUUCUUUCCAGGCUUGAGAAAGGACCUCAAUGUGGACAAACGUGUUACAAACAUCACAACGGAAACAUAACAGGUUGCCCCCCCGAUUGCACCCGGUGUGACUAUGCAAAUCCGGGGUUUCACCUUACUUUCGGUACUGGAGUAUGCAGUCCUUAACUUUGGGUUUAAGCGGCUGCAAACGAAACAAUUGACGUUUCAAGCCGCGCCUUAAGCUUAACUCAAUCGCUUCUCCUUUUUCUGCAAUAGGCUGGGCGCUAAUUAUUAACUCCACAAAAUUUUAUUCGCUCCCCUUAUAGAGCAGAAAUAAUAACUUGGAUGAGGGAAUGUCCUUAUUUUAGUGUAGUAAAGAUUUUGAUGCAGC